rnacentral:tRNA from 1 species
GGGCCCGUAGCUCAGUGGAAGAGCAGGUGACUCAUAAUCACUUGGUCGGAGGUUCGAACCCUUCCGGGCCCA